CUCGGAGCUUUGCUGAAACUGCACAAAAAAUCGAGCUGGGGGGUUCCCUGGUCCCCGAUGUUGGGGCGGAGAGCGCGGCGCCGAGGGAGGGGGCGGCGCAGACCGGCCUAGGGGACACCUGGUCGAGCGCAGCCGCCGCUCCGCUCGAGCCCUGCGCUCCAGUGCCCCCACUGGCUGGAGAGCUCGCCCAGACCGGGGGUCUUCCUCCGUCGCUGACAGAUUUUAACCAUUAGAAGAAUACCAGUUCUGGAAAACAACCAAAGUUUCUUUGAUUGAAUGCCCAUGUAAUGCAUUGGAAUAUGAUAGGCGAUUAAGGUUUAACAAUGUUAAAAUGAAGAUAUUACUAAAAUGGCCCUCUAAAUAGCCCAACAAUUAUUAUUUUCUUUGUCCUAUGGAUUUGGCUUUGAAAGAUGUGCUGCUCUUAAUAAGAAACCUACGUGUUCCUCUUCCAGAGAGCUGGUGAAGCCAAAGGCAUUCUCAUAAUGAUGCGCUACACCGACUGACAUUUACCAACUGUGUCAAAGCUACAGGAGCCAGGUAGACACUGCUGGAACUUUAACGGGAAUCAAACAAGUCUAUAAGAAGCACUGAGCUGUGCCACUACCCAAUCAGUGUUCUUCCAGAGCACACAAACGAAAGUGGGAGGAGCCUUCCAAUGAGAACUGUUGUGUGAUUAAUCAAUGAGGCUGACUAAAGCACACACUUAUAAUCCCAAUACUCAGAAAGACAGAGGAAGAAGGAUAUCAGCGCAAGGCCAACAAGGCUUCAAAGCAAGUACCAACCCAGUAUGGACCAUGAGACCCUAUUUCAGAAACAAAUAAUAAAAGCUUGAUGAAGCUGCAAAAAUUA
rnacentral:lncRNA from 1 species